GAGAGGGCGUUGGCCUAAGUUCCUUGGAACAGGACGUCACAGAGGGUGAGAAUCCCGUGCUUGGCCGACUGUCCCUCUUCAUGUGAAGUGUCUUCGACGAGUCGAGUUGUUUGGGAAUGCAGCUCAAAAUGGGUGGUAAACUCCAUCUAAGGCUAAAUAUUGGCGAGAGACCGAUAGCGCACAAGUAGAGUGAUCGAAAGAUGAAAAGCACUUUGAAAAGAGAGUUAAAAAGUACGUGAAAUUGUUGAAAGGGAAGCGCUUGAGACCAGACUCAGUGCUAGGUGAUCAGCGGUACUUUUGUGCCGUGCACUUGCCUUUUACUGGGCCAGCAUCAGUUACAGCGGUGGGAUAAAGAUUCAGGGAAUGUGGCUCCCUUCGGGGAGUGUUAUAGCCCUGGAUGUAAUGCCACCUGUUGUGACUGAGGACCGCGCU
rnacentral:rRNA from 1 species